GUAUUGUUUAUGUGGGAUCCUGUAUUUGUGAAACUUAAGGAAUGGGAGGAAUAGUAGAAAUAAAAUAUCAGAAAGGAGUGUUCCAUAGAGUUAGGUUAAUGGAGAAGGUAUGCAGAUUCUAAAUAGUGUGGGUAAAUUUGUGGCUAGCAGUGGCUGUGGGCAGAUGCGUUGGAAGUUGUUCUGGGAGCAGAGGUCUGUGAACUCUUGGAGGAGGUAGGGGGCUUUUGGCUGCAUGUGAAGGAGACACUGGUUUAGGAUCUUCCCUACACAUUGGAGACACCCUCAACUCAGCCAGAUCAUGGUGAGCUUUAAUUUAAUUUAAUUUAAUUUAAUUUAAUUUGUUAUUUUAUUUUUGAGAUGGAGUCUCACUCUGUUGCCCAGGAGAAUUGCUUGAGCCCAGGAGGCUGACGUUGC
rnacentral:sRNA from 1 species